UACGGGGGGAGCAAGCGUUGUUCGGAAUUACUGGGCGUAAAGGGCGCGUAGGCGGCCUGGUCAGUCGGAUGUGAAAGCCCGGGGCUCAACCCCGGAACGGCAUCCGAGACGGCCAGGCUGGAGACCGGGAGAGGAGAGUGGAAUAGCCAGUGUAGAGGUGAAAUUCGUAGAUAUUGGCUGGAACACCGGUGGCGAAAGCGGCUCUCUGGCCCGGUUCUGACACUGAGGCGCGAAAGCGUGGGGAGCAAACAGG
rnacentral:rRNA from 1 species